GGAGGAGCUCAGGGUUAUGAUCUAGGCAAUUAGCUAAUUUUAAAAUUGGGGCGGGCAAAGGGAGAAGCUAUAAUUGAAAUGGCUACAAUUGGAUCCAAUUAAGGCUAGAUACAGUAUUCUGAAAAUGGGCCACCUAACUUUCUAUUUCUCUAUUUCUAUGGGUAAAUGAAUUAUUUCAAAUUAUUUUCAGAAUUAUUUAAGAAAAUGUGAAAGCCUAGGGUAAAAAAUUACUGGAAGGGAUAGAAGGAAACAUACCAGAAUGUUUGUCUUUGGCAGAUUGAUUUUUUUGUUCAUUUAAAAAUAUUUUUCCAGGAUUGGGGCUUGCCCACCAUGACCAUACAUUUAGAAGCAGGAAAGAAAACGCCAUUUGUUAAACAAUGAAAGUAUAGUAUGCAUCAUCAAAGAGGUCAGGCUCUGCCUCUCCUGAGCUCAGACUCUCCAUCCUCGUCCCCCUGGAUCUGAGGUGUAUCCCUCCUUUAGAGAAUGGGAGGCACAGGGUCCCAAGGCAGCCUGCUGAGUGGGCUAUAAAAAGAAGUGGGUCUCAACUGCAGGGAGACAGGUAGGGUGCAGAGGAGGACUUGAUAUUUUAUAACAAGAUAUACAAUGUCCUGUUUAUACGUUGAUAGCAAUGGCCCUGGAGAGAGAUUAAUAAUUCAGAAGAGAGGGCUUCAUUUCAGGAGCCAGGUCCUUAGGAGGAGUAGAGGGCAAAGGACUCUUAGCAAUCGGUGGGAGCAGGAAGAGUUUUUCCAUUAUAGCAGGAAAGCAGACAAAACUAUGAAUAAAGAUGCGGUA
rnacentral:lncRNA from 1 species